CGAGCCCCUCCCCCCUCCGAGGAGCGUGAUGACGAUUACACCAACGACCCCUACGUCACCGGCUACGUUGACGUCAUCCCGGACGUGGAGAGCGACCACGCAGCGCCGCCACGUGACGACUACGAGAAUGUCCCGGAUGGAGCCAGGAGCCCCUUAGGCAGCAGCCUCGAGUACAUCAACCUCCACGUGGAUGACGCGAGCGACAACGACGACAAUGGCGGCGACUACGAGAACUUCUAGGUCUCUGGAGCUGCCCCCCCAUUGGACCCCCCUUAUUUAUUGUGACCCCCAAGUGAGCUGACGGCGCCUGAGAGACCCCAUAGAGACCCAUAGAGACCCAUAGAGACCCAUAGAGACCCAUAGAGACACAUAGAGACCC